rnacentral:rRNA from 1 species
GGGUUGUGAGGUUAAGCGACCAAGCGUACACGGUGGAUGCCCUGGCAGUCAGAGGCGAUGAAGGACGUGCUAAUCUGCGAAAAGCGCCGGUAAGGUGAUAUGAACCGUUAUAACCGGCGAUGUCCGAAUGGGGAAACCCAGUGUGACUCGUCACACUAUCAUUAACUGAAUCCAUAGGUUAAUGAGGCGAACCGGGGGAACUGAAACAUCUAAGUACCCCGAGGAAAAGAAAUCAACCGAGAUUCCCCCAGUAGCGGCGAGCGAACGGGGAGGAGCCCAGAGCCUGAAUCAGCAUGUGUGUUAGUGGAAGCGUCUGGAAAGGCGCGCGAUACAGGGUGAGAGCCCCGUACACAAAAGCGCACAUGCUGUGAGCUCGAUGAGUAGGGCGGGACACGUGGUAUCCUGUCUGAAUAUGGGGGGACCAUCCUCCAAGGCUAAAUACUCCUGACUGACCGAUAGUGAACCAGUACCGUGAGGGAAAGGCGAAAAGAACCCCGGCGAGGGGAGUGAAACAGAACCUGAAACCGUGUACGUACAAGCAGUGGGAGCCCCACCACUAAGCCAGUGGUGAACUCCACAUACGCAUCCUUUGCGGAAGAUGCGGUUAACGGAGCGAAAGCGACGUUCAACCUCAGAAGAAGCAGAGG